UCCCUAGUGGCUCAGAUGGUAAAGAAUCUGCCUGCAGUGCAGGAGACCUGGGUUCAAUUCCUGGGUUGGGAA
rnacentral:tRNA from 1 species